rnacentral:rRNA from 1 species
UACAGAGGUCCCGAGCGUUGUUCGGAUUCAUUGGGCGUAAAGGGUGCGUAGGCGGCGGGGCAAGUCUGAUGUGAAAUCCCGGGGCUCAACCCCGGAACUGCAUUGGAUACUGCCUUGCUAGAGUACUGGAGAGGGAACUGGAAUUUACGGUGUAGCAGUGAAAUGCGUAGAGAUCGUAAGGAAGGCCAGUGGCGAAGGCGAGUUCCUGGACAGUAACUGACGCUGAGGUGCGAAAGCGUGGGGAGCAAACAGG